CGAAAUUUGGAAAUGCAGAGUAGCAAUUCACACUUACUAACCAUCAACCCCCAUUUUGAAUCUCACGUGAGUCUUCUUUCUCUCUUCCUUCACUUGAAUCUCACAAAGAAUCAUUUUCAUCUACCACCAUUUUCUUCAUAUUUUCAGAAAUUGAUACUCACUAUCAACCUACCCAUUAACUUAAAUUUCAUCUUUUUGAACAAGAUUGUUAAAUUUUAUUUCACUUUCCAUUGAAGUUUGGAGAUUGCAACUUAGUUUGGUUUCUAGAUCUGGAUUCAUUGAAUCUCAUUGUUGAUUUCUGAAAUCUUUGAACUUGAAGCAAAAUGGAUAUUGGUGAAAUUCUUGAAAUUUUUGAAGCAACAUAACUGGGGAAGGCAACAUAGCUGGGGAAGGUUCAGAGGACUUGGGCAGUAGCUCUUGUUCGAAGAGUGUUCUAUGUUCCUCGGAUGAAGAUGUGGAAGACACCUACAAUUCACUAACCUUAACUUCAUUAAGUACCUCUAGAUUCUCAUACAAGAAUUUGAUCAUUCAUGUCAUUGCAAUUGCCAUAGUGACCUGUCCUACAAUUUCAACCGCGGUACAAUAAAAUCUUGCGUACAUUAGCUUCAAAGCAGUGAUUCGAAACUACACAGUCUACUAAACCAAUACUAAAACAAAUUAACUCCAUAUAUGGUUGAGCUUUAGAGAGCCUGUUUUGAGCAACCAUUGCAUACUAAAAUUCUGUUACGCAUAUUCUUUUUCUGUUUUGGCAGAGCUACUACUACACUCUUAAGGAGUAAAUGUACUGCUGAAAUAGCAAUCUGAGUCUGAAUUAUAGAAUUAGAGAGCAUCAACAAAAGUAAUUUGGUAAGCUAGAAACAGACGCAUUUUUAAUGAUGAGCAUGCUUUGUGGGAUGAGUUUUUUUUUAAGAAGCUUGUGGGAUGAGUUAGUGGAGGAGGUGAAGGUUUUGUCUUGGAGGUGGGUGUUAGGAAGAUUUAAUGUGCCGGCUUGCAUGUAUUACGAGUGGUGUUGGUGUCCCUGCGAGUGUUUGUUGAGAUAAGUGGAGUUUGGCGCAAGUGUGGCAGGUUUUGUGUUUGCGGAGAGGGAGGUUUUGGCAGAUUGGUGCAGCUACUGUCAUGACAGGUUUUCUCCUGUUGGUUUGGCUGCUGUCAUGACAGCAGGUUGUUUUUUGUUGUGGUUGCUGGCAUGUUGAGGCUCCUGUUUGUUUUCUGCAUUUCUCCAGCUGUUGUGCGGCUUGUGUAGGAUUUUGGUAGGGGGUGUAAAGCGGUUGUGCUAUGAAAUUGAAUUCUAGAGCUCAUUCUGAGAAUUCAGCGGCAUAGCUCUAGCCUUUUGGCUCGGUUUUCGCUUAUCCUAGAGGACCUUGCACCGUUUUAUUUUUCUGGGGAAUGGUUUGGUGUAAUUUUUGGAUGUUACGUCUAUAUGCGGCAUCGUUGUUCUUCUUCCUUUCCGACUCUUUGCGUCUUGCUAGAGUUUCGGAUUCAAUAAUAUUUCUUGA